CCUACGGGUGGCAGCAGUGAGGAAUAUUGGUCAAUGGACGAGAGUCUGAACCAGCCCAGUAGCGUGAAGGAUGACUGCCCUAUGGGUUGUAAACUUCUUUUAUAUGGGAAUAAAAUGUUACACGUGUGGGAUUUUGUAUGUACCAUAUGAAUAAGGAUCGGCUAACUCCGUGCCAGCAGCCGCGGUAAUACGUAGGAUCCGAGCGUUAUCCGGAUUUAUUGGGUUUAAAGGGAGCGUAGGUGGAUUGUUAAGUCAGUUGUGAAAGUUUGCGGCUCAACCGUAAAAUUGCAGUUGAAACUGGCAGUCUUGAGUACAGUAGAGGUGGGCGGAAUUCGUGGUGUAGCGGUGAAAUGCUUAGAUAUCACGAAGAACUCCGAUUGCGAAGGCAGUUCACUGGACUGCAACUGACACUGAGGCUCGAAAGUGUGGGUAUCAAACAGGAUUAGAUACCCCGGUAGUC
rnacentral:rRNA from 1 species